GUCUACGGCCGUGCCACCCUGAACAAGUCCGAUCCCGUCUGAUCUCGGAAGCUAAGCAGGGUCAGGCCUGGUUAGUACUUAGAUGGGAGACCACCUAGGAAGACCAGGUGCUGUAGGUG
rnacentral:rRNA from 1 species